rnacentral:rRNA from 1 species
GGACGAACGCUGGCGGCGUGCCUAAUACAUGCAAGUUGAGCGAUGAAGAUUGGUGCUUGCACCAAUUUGAAGAGCAGCGAACGGGUGAGUAACGCGUGGGGAAUCUGCCUUUGAGCGGGGGACAACAUUUGGAAACGAAUGCUAAUACCGCAUAACAACUUUAAACAUAAGUUUUAAGUUUGAAAGAUGCAAUUGCAUCACUCAAAGAUGAUCCCGCGUUGUAUUAGCUAGUUGGUGAGGUAAAGGCUCACCAAGGCGAUGAUACAUAGCCGACCUGAGAGGGUGAUCGGCCACAUUGGGACUGAGACACGGCCCAAACUCCUACGGGAGGCAGCAGUAGGGAAUCUUCGGCAAUGGACGAAAGUCUGACCGAGCAACGCCGCGUGAGUGAAGAAGGUUUUCGGAUCGUAAAACUCUGUUGGUAGAGAAGAACGUUGGUGAGAGUGGAAAGCUCAUCAAGUGACGAUAACUACCCAGAAAGGGACGGCUAACUACGUG